rnacentral:rRNA from 1 species
GACUCGGCAUCGAGAUUAUAUUAAAGUCACAACGGUAAAAGAUGAGCAUGCGUCCCAUUAGCUAGUUGGUAAGGUAACGGCUUACCAAGGCUACGAUGGGUAGGGGUCCUGAGAGGGAGAUCCCCCACACUGGUACUGAGACACGGACCAGACUCCUACGGGAGGCAGCAGUGAGGAAUAUUGGACAAUGGGCGCAAGCCUGAUCCAGCCAUGCCGCGUGCAGGAUGACGGUCCUAUGGAUUGUAAACUGCUUUUAUACGAGAAGAAACACUGCUACGUGUAGCAGCUUGACGGUAUCGUAAGAAUAAGGAUCGGCUAACUCCGUGCCAGCAGCCGCGGUAAUACGGAGGAUCCAAGCGUUAUCCGGAAUCAUUGGGUUUAAAGGGUCCGUAGGCGGGUUAGUGGUGAAAGCCCAUCGCUCAACGGUGGAACGG